AUUGAACGCUGGCGGCAGGCCUAACACAUGCAAGUCGAACGAGUGGCGGACGGGUGAGUAAUGUCUGGGCAACUGCCUGAUGGAGGGGGAUACCUCCUGGAAACGGUCGCUAAUACCUCAUACCAUCGGAUGUGCCCAGAUGGGAUGAGCGAGUAGGUGGGGUAACGGCUCACCUAGGCGACGAUCCCUAGCUGGUCUGAGAGGAUGACCAGCAAAACUGGAACUGAGACACGGUCCAGACUCCUACGGGAGGCAGCAGUGGGGAAUAUUGCACAAUGGGCGCAAGCCUGAUGCAGCAAUGCCGCGGGGGUGAAGAAGGCCUUCGGGUUGUAAAGCACUUUCAGCGGGGAGGCGUUACCCGAAGAAGAAGCACCGGCUAACUCCGUGCCAGCAGCCGCGGUAAUUC
rnacentral:rRNA from 1 species